AAGGAUUUAAGUUAACUAAACUAUCAACCUUCAAAGUUGAAAAUAGGAAGUAUAGAACCUAAGCCUUA
rnacentral:tRNA from 1 species